AUGCUCACUUAGGCAGCACAUAUACUAAAAAAUUGGAAUGAUACAGAGAUCAGCAUGGCCCCUCUGCAAGGAUGACAUGUAAAUUCGUGAAGCCAUAUUUAA
ensembl:snRNA U6 U6 spliceosomal RNA